CGCCGCUGCUGGUUUUCAAUGGCGAGUAACACGUUGACGUUCUAUUGCGGCUUCCUUCCUCUCGAAAACUGUGAGCUAUUUUUUAGGGAGGCGAACAUGACGAAGGGAAAGCUACUCGUGAAACAUGUGUUCGCGGUGGAGGAGAUAAUACAAGCAGACGAGCAUCAGCUGAACGCCAAGUGCGUUUCACCAGUGCAAGACAACGUCGUCUACGAUGUGCGUCUGAAGAUCUGCGCUCAUACACGUACGGUCCGUAGCCUCCGGGACGUGCUCUUGCAAGGCGGGAAUAACCGGCCGCUGUAAGCAUGCCGCGGCUGUGUGCGCCUACGUGAAUGAGGCAACUGACGAUACCUGUACAAGCAGACCUCGGCAGUGGGGAAAACCGUCGAAAAAACCCAAGCGGGACGUGAACAAGACCAUCGCGGACCUUUUCCCAGCUGGACCCCUCACGUGUGCCAAGGACACAAGGCCAGAGUCACCCACUAAUGUCAUGGCAUGCUAUGAAGACUUUUUCCACCGCACAGCCCUAAUCCAGGCUUCUCGGCGGUCUGUCUCGUACCACUUGCCGGGAAACGAAUAGAACCGGACGAUGGGCUCUUUUCC